UAACACAUGCAAGUCGAGCGAAUGGGUGCUUAUGUGAGUGCGGGUAACCGUGUGAUCAUUUGAGGAAGUUAGCGGCAGACGGGUGAGUAAUGUGUGGGAAUCUGCCCGGAAGACUGGAACAACUGCUGGAAACGGCAGCUAAUACCAGAUAAUACCCUGAGGGGGAAAGUUCUACUUCGGUAGUUCGCUUUCGGAUGAGCCCACAUCGGAUUAGCUAGUUGGUGGGGUAAAUGCCUACCAAGGCUGUGAUCCGUAGCUGGUCUAAGAGGAUGAUCAGCCACACUGGGACUGAGACACGGCCCAGACUCCUACGGGAGGCAGCAGUGGGGAAUAUUGGACAAUGGGCGCAAGCCUGAUCCAGCCAUGCCGCGUGAGUGAUGAAGGCCUUCGGGUUGUAAAGCUCUUUUAGUGGGGAAGAUAAUGACGGUACCUACAGAAAAAGUCACGGCUAACUCUGUGCCAGCAGCCGCGGUAAUACAGAGAUGGCAAGCGUUAUCCGGAAUUAUUGGGCGUAAAGUACGUGUAGGCGGUUUUGUAAGUUAUAGGUGAAAUUCCAGGGCUUAACCCUGGCGCUGCCUGUAAUACUGCAUCACUAGAGUUAUAGAGGGGGUAGUGGAAUUCCUAGUGUAGAGGUGAAAUUCGUAGAUAUUAGGAGGAACACCAGUGGCGAAGGCGACUACCUGGAGAUAUACUGACGCUGAGACGUGAAAGCAUGGGGAGCAAACAGGAUUAGAUACCCUGGUAGUCCAUGCCCUAAACGAUGAGCACUUGUUGUUGGAUUUUUGAAUUCAGUGGCGUAGCUAACGUGUUAAGUGCUCCGCCUGGGGAUUACGAUCGCAAGAUUAAAACUUAAAGGAAUUGACGGGGACCCGCACAAGCGGUGGAACAUGUGGUUUAAUUCGAUUACUCCGCGCAAAACCUUACCACUUCUUGACAUGGAGAUCAUAUCCUAUUGAGAGAUAGGAGUCAUUUAGUUGGAUCUCACACAGGUGUUGCAUGGCUGUCGUCAGCUCGUGUCGUGAGAUGUUGGGUUAAGUCCCGCAACGAGCGCAACCCCUACUUUUAUUUGCCAUCGGGUUAUGCCGGGAACUAUAAAGGAACUGCCAGUGUUGAACUGGAGGAAGGUGGGGACGAUGUCAAGUCAUCAUGACCCUUAUGAAGUGGGCUACACACGUGUUGCAAUGGUAGCUACAAUGUGUCGCAAAGCCGUGAGGCCGAGCCAAUCAUUAAAAGUUAUCUCAGUUCGGAUUGCACUCUGCAACUCGAGUGCAUGAAGUCGGAAUCGCUAGUAAUCGCAGAUCAGCACGCUGCGGUGAAUACGUUCUCGGGUCUUGUACACACUGCCCGUCAAGCCAUGGAAGUUGGCCUUACCUUAAGUCAGUGCGCCAACCGCAAGGAGGCAGCUGCCCACGGUAACGUCAGUGACUGGGGUU
rnacentral:rRNA from 1 species